rnacentral:rRNA from 1 species
CCUACGGGUGUCAGCAGUGAGGCAUAUUGGUCAAUGGGCGCGAGCCUGAACCAGCCAAGUAGCGUGAAGGAUGACUGCCCUACGGGUUGUAAACUUCUUUUAUAAAGGAAUCAAGUGAGUCACGUGUGCCUUUUUGUAUGUCCUUUAUGAAUAAGGAUCUGCUAACUCCGUGCCAGCAGCCGCUGUAAUACGGAGGAUCCGAGCUUUAUCCGGAUUUAUUGGGUUUAAAGGGAGCGUAGAUGGGUUGUUAAGUCAGUUGUGAAAGUGUGCGGCUCAACCGUAAAAUUGCAAUUGAUACUGGCAGCCUUGAGUAUAGUGGAGGUAGGCGGAAUUCGUGGUGUAGCGGUGAAAUGCUUAGAUAUCACGAAGAACUCCGAUUGCGAAGGCAGCCUACUAAACUGCCACUGACAUUGAUGCUCGAAAGUGUGGGUAUCAAACAGGAUUAGAUACCCGGGUAGUC